UACGUAGGCAGCAAGCGUUGUUCGGAAUCACUGGGCUUAAAGGGCGCGUAGGCGGGCUCUCAAGUCGGGGGUGAAAUCGUUCGGCCCAACCGGACAAGGGCUUCCGAUACUGAGAGUCUCGAGGGAGGUAGGGGUCGAGGGAACUGGUGGUGGAGCGGUGAAAUGCGUAGAUAUCACUAGGAACGCCGGUGGCGAAAGCGCUCGACUGGACCUCUUCUGACGCUGAGGCGCGAAAGCCAGGGGAGCAAACGGG
rnacentral:rRNA from 1 species